rnacentral:rRNA from 1 species
GCUGGAAUCGCUAGUAAUCGCAAAUCAGAAUGUUGCGGUGAAUACGUUCCCGGGUCUUGUACACACCGCCCGUCACACCAUGGGAGUCGGAUGUGCCCGAAGCCAGUGACCUAACCGUAAGGAAGGAGCUGUCGAAGGUGGAGCCGAUAACUGGGGUGAAGUCGUAACAAGGUAGC